rnacentral:rRNA from 1 species
GAAGAUGACGAGUGGCGGACGGGUGAGUAAUGCUUGGGAACUUGCCUUUGCGAGGGGGAUAACAGUUGGAAACGACUGCUAAUACCGCAUAAUGUCUUCGGACCAAACGGGGCUUCGGCUCCGGCGCAAAGAGAGGCCCAAGUGAGAUUAGCUAGUUGGUAAGGUAACGGCUUACCAAGGCGACGAUCUCUAGCUGUUCUGAGAGGAAGAUCAGCCACACUGGGACUGAGACACGGCCCAGACUCCUACGGGAGGCAGCAGUGGGGAAUAUUGCACAAUGGGGGAAACCCUGAUGCAGCCAUGCCGCGUGUGUGAAGAAGGCCUUCGGGUUGUAAAGCACUUUCAGUUGUGAGGAAAAGUUAGUAGUUAAUACCUGCUAGCCGUGACGUUAACAACAGAAGAAGCACCGGCUAACUCCGUGCCAGCAGCCGCGGUAAUACGGAGGGUGC